rnacentral:rRNA from 1 species
CUACGGAGGAUCCAAGCGUUAUCCGGAUUUAUUGGGUUUAAAGGGUGCGCAGGCGGCCUUAUAAGUCAGUGGUGAAAUCUCCCGGCUCAACCGGGAAACUGCCAUUGAUACUGUAAGGCUAGAAUACAGACGAGGUAGGCGGAAUGUAGCAUGUAGCGGUGAAAUGCUUAUAUAUGCUACAGAACACCAAUCGCGAAGGCAGCUUACCAGACUGUAAUUGACGCUAAGGCACGAAAGCGUGGGGAGCGAACAGGAUUAGAAACCCGGGUAGUCC